GGCAAGCCUAGGAAACUAAUAUACCCCUGGUCUGUAAACUCCCUUUCGGACAAAGAAAAGAAACCCUUUCAGGCUUCUCUUCCCUCUCUCCCCCUCCUAUCUUCCAGGUGGAAGUGAGGAGGUAGGGGCUGAGCAUCAGUGGGAAAAAUGACCUACUGGCUGAUGGGAUCCAUUUCAAUUCGUGUUCUACAAAAUCAGACCAACUUUUUGGCUCAACCAUUUACUCCACUUCCUUGGUUAUCUUGCUGGAUGAAGAUAAUCUAGCCCAGAUUCUAAGGCUCAAGAAGCAGCAAAGCUAUAUGGUGGAAGAACCAUGAGUCUGAAUGGAUGAGCCAAGUGUUGCCCCAGUGACUCCUAGGAUCUGCAAUGGACUAUGAAUUGAACAAGAAAUAGACUUUUAUCAUUCAUUUUGGAAAUUUAUAUGCCAGUAACUAUAAAAAAAAAAGUGACUGGUUUUACAUAUCAGUUUUAUCUUCUCCUUUUAUUAGGAUUCAUGAACCCCUUUUAGAAGAUGGAAUUCCUUGCUAAAAAUUUUCUAGCCUUUAAGGCAUGAGAGAAGAAAACUCUUGAUAAAGGGUAUAUACAUACAUAUAUAUUUGACUAUAUUUAUACCUUAUAGUUGACUACAUGUAGACAUUAUAUCUGUAAACUCUAUAUAGUUAAGUGAUGAUACAUAUUAUAUAGCUUGUGUUUUGCUCUUCAUUAAAAUGAACUGUCACAAUUAUUAAUUUAUUUAUUUCAUAUAGAGAAUCAAUACUAUCUUAUUUAUUAUAUGAAAUCAACAUUUUAUAU
rnacentral:lncRNA from 1 species